rnacentral:rRNA from 1 species
GUAGGUGGUUUGUAAAGCGAAUAGUGAAAUCUGGCGGCUCAACCGUACAGGCUAUUAUUCGAACUCACAAACUCGAGAAUGGUAGAGGUUACUGGAAUUUCUAGUGUAGGAGUGAAAUCCGUAGAUAUUAGAAGGAACACCAAUGGCGUAGGCAGGUAACUGGACCAUUUCUGACACUAAGGCACGAAAGCGUGGGGAGCGAACCGGAUUAGAUACCCGGGUAGUCCACGCCGUAAACGAUGGAUACUAGCUGUUGGAGGUAUCGACCCCUUCAGUAGCGAAGCUAACGCGUUAAGUAUCCCGCCUGUGGAGUACGGUCGCAAGACUAAAACAUAAAGGAAUUGACGGGGACCCGCACAAGCGGUGGAUCGUGUCCUUUAAUUCGAUGCUAAACGAAGAACCUUACCAGGGCUUGACAUCCAGGGAAUUUCUGGGAAACCAGUUAGUGCCUUUUGGAACCCUGUGACAGGUGAUGCAUGGCCGUCGUCAGCUCGUGUCGUGAGAUGUUUGGUUAAGUCCAUCAACGAGCGCAACCCUUGUACUUAGUUGAAUUUUUCUAGGUAGACUGCCCCGGUAACGGGGAGGAAGGAGGGGAUGAUGUCAGGUCAGUAUUUCCCUUACGUCCUGGGCUAGAAACACGAUACAAUGGCAAGUACAAUGCGCAGCGAAGCCGCGAGGUGGAGCAAAUCGCAUCAAAGCUUGUCCCAGUUCGGAUUGGAGGCUGAAACUCGCCUCCAUGAAGUCGGAAUCGCUAGUAAUCGCAGAUCAGCAAGUUGCGGUGAAUACGUUCCCGGGUCUUGUACACACCGCCCGUCAAACCAUGAAAGUGACCAACACCCGAAGUCCGAUUCGUCGGCCUAAGGUGGGGGGCAUGAUUGGGGUU